UUAAAUUGAAGAGUUUGAUCAUGGCUCAGAUUGAACGCUGGCGGCAGGCCUAACACAUGCAAGUCGAACGGUAACAGGAAGAAGCUUGCUUCUUUGCUGACGAGUGGCGGACGGGUGAGUAAUGUCUGGGAAACUGCCUGAUGGAGGGGGAUAACUACUGGAAACGGUAGCUAAUACCGCAUAACGUCGCAAGACCAAAGAGGGGGACCUUCGGGCCUCUUGCCAUCGGAUGUGCCCAGAUGGGAUUAGCUAGUUGGUGGGGUAACGGCUCACCUAGGCGACGAUCCCUAGCUGGUCUGAGAGGAUGACCAGCCACACUGGAACUGAGACACGGUCCAGACUCCUACGGGAGGCAGCAGUGGGGAAUAUUGCACAAUGGGCGCAAGCCUGAUGCAGCCAUGCCGCGUGUAUGAAGAAGGCCUUCGGGUUGUAAAGUACUUUCAGCGGGGAGGAAGGGAGUAAAGUUAAUACCUUUGCUCAUUGACGUUACCCGCAGAAGAAGCACCGGCUAACUCCGUGCCAGCAGCCGCGGUAAUACGGAGGGUGCAAGCGUUAAUCGGAAUUACUGGGCGUAAAGCGCACGCAGGCGGUUUGUUAAGUCAGAUGUGAAAUCCCCGGGCUCAACCUGGGAACUGCAUCUGAUACUGGCAAGCUUGAGUCUCGUAGAGGGGGGUAGAAUUCCAGGUGUAGCGGUGAAAUGCGUAGAGAUCUGGAGGAAUACCGGUGGCGAAGGCGGCCCCCUGGACGAAGACUGACGCUCAGGUGCGAAAGCGUGGGGAGCAAACAGGAUUAGAUACCCUGGUAGUCCACGCCGUAAACGAUGUCGACUUGGAGGUUGUGCCCUUGAGGCGUGGCUUCCGGAGCUAACGCGUUAAGUCGACCGCCUGGGGAGUACGGCCGCAAGGUUAAAACUCAAAUGAAUUGACGGGGGCCCGCACAAGCGGUGGAGCAUGUGGUUUAAUUCGAUGCAACGCGAAGAACCUUACCUGGUCUUGACAUCCACGGAAGUUUUCAGAGAUGAGAAUGUGCCUUCGGGAACCGUGAGACAGGUGCUGCAUGGCUGUCGUCAGCUCGUGUUGUGAAAUGUUGGGUUAAGUCCCGCAACGAGCGCAACCCUUAUCCUUUGUUGCCAGCGGUCCGGCCGGGAACUCAAAGGAGACUGCCAGUGAUAAACUGGAGGAAGGUGGGGAUGACGUCAAGUCAUCAUGGCCCUUACGACCAGGGCUACACACGUGCUACAAUGGCGCAUACAAAGAGAAGCGACCUCGCGAGAGCAAGCGGACCUCAUAAAGUGCGUCGUAGUCCGGAUUGGAGUCUGCAACUCGACUCCAUGAAGUCGGAAUCGCUAGUAAUCGUGGAUCAGAAUGCCACGGUGAAUACGUUCCCGGGCCUUGUACACACCGCCCGUCACACCAUGGGAGUGGGUUGCAAAAGAAGUAGGUAGCUUAACCUUCGGGAGGGCGCUUACCACUUUGUGAUUCAUGACUGGGGUGAAGUCGUAACAAGGUAACCGUAGGGGAACCUGCGGUUGGAUCACCUCCUUACCUUAAAGAAGC
rnacentral:rRNA from 1 species